rnacentral:rRNA from 1 species
AUGACAGGGCCACCAUUCACCACAGGAGUUCUCUUCUCUUCUUUUCUCCAGUACGAUUGUGAGGCCAAGGAGAUGGAGGCGAAGAAGAGGGCAGCCGCCAUUGCCGCCCUGUGCAUGCUCCUCCUCACGCUGCCAAAGCCAUCCCUCCAGGAGCCGCUGUCCGACGUCAACUGCGAGUACUGCUAUCAGCAGUGCUACCACGGGUGCAAGGACAGCACCCCUCCGUGGCUCUGCAAGGUCAAGUGCGCCUGUGAUUGCGCCGAAUUGGGAGGCUCCGGCGACACCUUCGACACCCUUCUCGUCUGCUUGGAUGCCUGCGACACAGACUCCAUCUGUGGCCUGCCGGUGCCGUUGGCCGGUAAGACACGAGCCACCUGUCUGUCUUACAUUGAUAGAAUAUGUGUUCUUUUCGCAAAGGAAUGA